rnacentral:rRNA from 1 species
AUUGAACGCUGGCGGCAUGCUUUACACAUGCAAGUCGAACGGCAGCGCGGGCUUCGGCCUGGCGGCGAGUGGCGAACGGGUGAGUAAUACAUCGGAACGUGCCCAGUCGUGGGGGAUAGCUCGGCGAAAGCCGGAUUAAUACCGCAUACGACCUGAGGGUGAAAGCGGGGGAUCUUCGGACCUCGCGCUAUUGGAGCGGCCGAUGGCAGAUUAGCUAGUUGGUGGGGUAAAGGCCUACCAAGGCGACGAUCUGUAGCUGGUCUGAGAGGACGACCAGCCACACUGGGACUGAGACACGGCCCAGACUCCUACGGGAGGCAGCAGUGGGGAAUUUUGGACAAUGGGCGAAAGCCUGAUCCAGCAAUGCCGCGUGUGUGAUGAAGGCCUUCGGGUUGUAAAGCACUUUUGGCGGGAACGAAAAGGACUGUGCCAAUACCACGGUUCGAUGACGGUACCCGAAGAAUAAGCACCGGCUAACUACGUG